rnacentral:rRNA from 1 species
GACGAACGCUGGCGGCGUGCCUAAUACAUGCAAGUAGAACGCUGAAGAGAGGAGCUUGCACUUCUUGGAUGAGUUGCGAACGGGUGAGUAACGCGUAGGUAACCUGCCUUGUAGCGGGGGAUAACUAUUGGAAACGAUAGCUAAUACCGCAUAACAAUGGAUGACACAUGUCAUUUAUUUGAAAGGGGCAAUUGCUCCACUACAAGAUGGACCUGCGUUGUAUUAGCUAGUAGGUGAGGUAACGGCUCACCUAGGCGACGAUACAUAGCCGACCUGAGAGGGUGAUCGGCCACACUGGGACUGAGACACGGCCCAGACUCCUACGGGAGGCAGCAGUAGGGAAUCUUCGGCAAUGGGGGCAACCCUGACCGAGCAACGCCGCGUGAGUGAAGAAGGUUUUCGGAUCGUAAAGCUCUGUUGUAAGUCAAGAACGAGUGUGAGAGUGGAAAGUUCACACUGUGACGGUAGCUUACCAGAAAGGGACGGCUAACUACGUG